UACACCAUGUUGUUGAUGAGCAUGAGUGGGUGUUGGAGGAAGGUGUAAAUGGUGGAAAAUGUGAACAUGAUCCUCUUAAUGAAAGUGAGAGAAAGAAGCCAUGGCUUAAGAAAGAGUCUUCUGCCCAUAAAGCACUGGCAAAGAUCAUUCUGGACACUCACUUUUUAAACACUUUGGUGUAUUAUGUUAACUUCAGGCACACAGGAUUUUUAGAGUCCUUUCAUAAUGUAAUUUUGAUGUAUGCUCCAAAGCGCCAUGCCUAUUCAUACUCAGUAUACCAAGCUAGAAACCGGCUUGCUGCCUUGGACUUUAACCACCACAGAGGCCGAGCACCAGCAACUACAGCUGAUGGGAAAGAAAGGUACGGUCGGAAGUUCAGUAAGCGUACACAACAGUGGUGCCGUGUUCGUGUUCUUGUACCAAAAGAAUUUAGUUACAUUCCUGAACUGAUGCAGAAGGUUUUUAUAAAGAGGAUCACAUCAGAAGGGAAUGUAAACAAAAGACUUGGUCUUAGAGUUUUUUGUUUCACCUUAUCCUUUCAAGACUUUAAAGUUAAAUAAGAAUCCGGGACAUAUUUCUAUUGUCCGUGGCAAGUAAUUAGCAAAAUUCAGCUCCGUGAAGCGAUUCAUGGCUAUUACUCUUAGAGACAAAAGCCUUCGCUUUUCCGGCGUUAAUCUUUUCAAACGAAAACUAUAACAACUUUUUUUCUCGGUAAAUGGUAGCAAUUUUCUUUUACCAUUUUUUUAUCUUUCGAUAUUCGCAAACCCGGUGGUUACUAAUUUUACUAGCUCCAUAGCCUAACAUAUCCAACCAUAGUAAUGACAGUAGGUGACAGGGAAUGACGGUAGAUUACAGGAUGACAGUAAAUGACAGGGAAUGAAUGAGUAACAUGGGAUGUAAACUGCAAAGAAUGAGUAACAUGGGAUGUAAACUGCAAAGAAUGAGUAACAUGGGAUGCAAACUGCAAAGGAUGAGUAACAUGGGAUGCAAACUGCAAAGAAUGAGUAACAUGGGAUGCAAACUGCAAAGAAUGAGUAACAUGGGAUGCAAACUGCAAAGAAUGAGUAACAUAGGAUGUAAACUGCAAAGAAUGAGUAACAUGGAUGCAAACUGCAAAGAAUGAGUAACAUAGGAUGUAAACUGCAAAGAAUGAGUAACAUGGGAUGCAAACUGCAAAGGAUGAGUAACAUAGGAUGUAAACUGCAAAGAAUGAGUAACAUGGGAUGCAAACAGG